rnacentral:rRNA from 1 species
GACGAACGCUGGCGGCGUGCCUAAUACAUGCAAGUAGAACGCACAGUUUAUACCGUAGCUUGCUACACCAUAAACUGUGAGUUGCGAACGGGUGAGUAACGCGUAGGUAACCUGCCUGGUAGCGGGGGAUAACUAUUGGAAACGAUAGCUAAUACCGCAUAAUAUUGAUUAUUGCAUGAUAAUUGAUUGAAAGAUGCUAUUGCAUCACUACCAGAUGGACCUGCGUUGUAUUAGCUAGUAGGUGAGGUAACGGCUCACCUAGGCGACGAUACAUAGCCGACCUGAGAGGGUGAUCGGCCACACUGGGACUGAGACACGGCCCAGACUCCUACGGGAGGCAGCAGUAGGGAAUCUUCGGCAAUGGACGAAAGUCUGACCGAGCAACGCCGCGUGAGUGAAGAAGGUUUUCGGAUCGUAAAGCUCUGUUGUAAGAGAAGAACGGGUGUGAGAGUGGAAAGUUCACACUG